rnacentral:rRNA from 1 species
AUUGAACGCUGGCGGCAUGCUUUACACAUGCAAGUCGAACGGUAACAGGUUAAGCUGACGAGUGGCGAACGGGUGAGUAAUGUAUCGGAACGUGCCCAGUCGUGGGGGAUAACUGCUCGAAAGAGCAGCUAAUACCGCAUACGACCUGAGGGUGAAAGCGGGGGAUCGCAAGACCUCGCGCGAUUGGAGCGGCCGAUAUCAGAUUAGGUAGUUGGUGGGGUAAAGGCCUACCAAGCCUACGAUCUGUAGCUGGUCUGAGAGGACGACCAGCCACACUGGGACUGAGACACGGCCCAGACUCCUACGGGGGACAGCAGUGGGGAACUUUGGACAAUGGACGCAAGUCUGAUCCAGCCAUGCCGCGUGCGGGAAGAAGGCCUUCGGGUUGUAAACCGCUUUUGUCAGGGAAGAAAAGGUUCUGGUUAAUACCUGGGACUCAUGACGGUACCUGAAGAAUAAGCACCGGCUAACUACGUGCCAGCCGCCGCGGUAA